GGCGAGAUAGCUCAGCAGGUAGAGCACCGCCCUGAAGAGGCGGGUGUCCUCGGUUCGAGUCCGAGUCUCGCCACCA
rnacentral:tRNA from 1 species